GUACACGCUGUGACUAGCAUAUCAAUAAGCGGAGGAAAAGAAACUAACAAGGAUUCCCCUAGUAACGGCGAGUGAAGCGGGAAGAGCUCAAAUUUGAAAUCUUAAAGGGUUUCCCUUUACGAAUUGUAGUUUAAAGAAGUGUUUUCUGUUGAGGUUUUGGUAAAAGUUCUUUGGAAUAGGACAUCAUAGAGGGUGAGAAUCCCGUAUUUGACCUUUACUUUCAACUUUGUGAUACACUUUCAAAGAGUCGGAUUGUUUGGGAAUGCAGUCCAAAACUGGGUGGUAAAUUUCAUCUAAAGCUAAAUAUUGGCGAGAGACCGAUAGCGAACAAGUACCGUGAGGGAAAGAUGAAAAGAACUUUGAAAAGAGAGUUAAACAGUACGUGAAAUUGUCAAAAGGGAAGCGUUUGACACCAGUGUUGUUUUUCUGAAAAUCAAUUAAAGAACUGUUUAUGCUAAGCUGUUUAGACUUUAUCAGCUAUCUGUUUAGUUUUGAGCUUUUCCUUUAAUGCACUUUUCAGUUAACAAGUCAACAUCAAUUUCUUUUGCUGUAAAAAAGCUUGAGGAAGGUGGCUUGAGAUUCGUCUUAAGUGUUUAUAGCCUCUUGCCUAUGCAGUCGGAGAGAUUGAGGUCUGCAGCGUAGAUCCUUCGGGGCUAAAUGCAUUUGUGCUAAGUUAUAGCAUUUUAUAGACAACUUGUUGACUAUGAUUUGUCUUGUAGCUUACUCGCUUAUGUCAUUUUACCUACGCUUAGGAUGUUGAAGAUGUAGCACAUCAU
rnacentral:rRNA from 1 species